rnacentral:rRNA from 1 species
AUUGAACGCUGGCGGCAUGGCUAAAACAUGCAAGUCGAACGCGAAAGUACCUUCGGGUGCGAGUAGAGUGGCGAAAGGGCGAGUAAUGCGUUUCUAACGUGCCCCAAGGUCAGGGAUAGCAUCGGGAAACCGUUGGUAAUACCUGAUAAUCCCAAUCGAACGAAUGUUCAGUUGGGCAAAGGCUUGCUGCCUUGGGAUCGGGAAACGUGCUAUCAGGUUGUUGGUGAGGUAAUGGCUCACCAAGCCUAAGACGGCUAGCGGGUGUGAGAGCACGACCCGCCGCAUCGGGACUGAGACACUGCCCGG